rnacentral:rRNA from 1 species
GGCGAACGCUGGCGGCGUGCUUAACACAUGCAAGUCGAACGGAAAGGCCUGCUUUCCCUUGUGGAUUGCGGGUACUGGGGUGGCAAAGGGGGGGGUAACACGGGGGUGAUCUGCCCCCACCUUGGGAAUAGGCCUGGGAACCUGGGUCAAAUUCCCGAUAGGACGGCAGGGUGGUGCCGGGGGUGGAAACCGUUUUUUUGGGGGUGGGGGAUGGGCUCGCGGCCUAUCAGCUUGUGGGUGGGGUAAUGGCCUACCAAGGCGGCGACGGGUAGCCGGCCUGAGAGGGUGGACGGCCACAUUGGGACUGAGAUACGGCCCAGACUCCUACGGGAGGCAGCAGUGGGGAAUAUUGCACAAUGGGCGGAAGCCUGAUGCAGCGACGCCGCGUGGGGGAUGACGGCCUUCGGGUUGUAAACUCCUUUCGACCGCGAGGAAGCCACCUGGUUGGAAGGGUGGUGACGGUAGUGGUAGAAGAAGCACCGGCUAACUACGUG